rnacentral:rRNA from 1 species
CGGGCUGUCUAAGUAUAAGCACUCUUGUACCGUGAAACUGCGAAUGGCUCAUUAAAUCAGUUAUCGUUUAUUUGAUAGUACCCUACUACAUGGAUACCUGUGGUAAUUCUAGAGCUAAUACAUGCGCAAAACCCCGACUUCGGAAGGGGUGUAUUUAUUAGAUAAAAAACCAAUGCCCCUCGGGGCUCCUUGGUGAUUCAUAAUAACUUCACGAAUCGCAUGGCCUUGCGCCGGCGAUGGUUCAUUCAAAUUUCUGCCCUAUCAACUUUCGAUGGUAGGAUAGUGGCCUACCAUGGUGGCAACGGGUAACGGGGAAUUAGGGUUCGAUUCCGGAGAGGGAGCCUGAGAAACGGCUACCACAUCCAAGGAAGGCAGCAGGCGCGCAAAUUACCCAAUCCCGAUACGGGGAGGUAGUGACAAUAAAUACUGAUACAGGGCUCUUUUGGGUCUUGUAAUUGGAAUGAGAACAAUCUAAAUCCCUUAACGAGGAACAAUUGGAGGGCAAGUCUGGUGCCAGCAGCCGCGGUAAUUCCAGCUCCAAUAGCGUAUAUUAAAGUUGUUGCAGUUAAAAAGCUCGUAGUUGAACCUUGGGCCCGUCCUGCCGGUCCGCCUCACCGCGAGUACUGGUCCGGAUGGGCCUUUCUUUCUGGGGAAUCCCAUGGCCUUCACUGGCUGUGGCGGGGAACCAGGACUUUUACUGUGAAAAAAAUUAGAGUGUUCAAAGCAGGCCUUUGCUCGGAUACAUUAGCAUGGAAUAAUAGAAUAGGACGUGCGGUUCUAUUUUGUUGGGUUUCUAGGAC